GUGUAACUCAUUAGAUUAGUCACAUAUACUGAAUCAAUUACUGUAAGUCCAAUUAAUUAAGGAGUUCUAUUCCUAAUCAGAUCUAGACUGGAAGUCAAUUUUGAUUAGAGUUAGUCUUUUGACGGGACAAGAUAAGUGCAUAUAUAAAUAUAGAGGUGAUAUGAUCUCUUUCUCUAAUUCUCAAAAAGAUAUGAGCGAUUCCCAUCGAUCAUCUACGUUAAAGAGGAGG
rnacentral:lncRNA from 1 species